rnacentral:rRNA from 1 species
AUUGAACGCUGGCGGCAUGCCUUACACAUGCAAGUCGAACGGCAGCACGGGUGCUUGCACCUGGUGGCGAGUGGCGAACGGGUGAGUAAUACAUCGGAACAUGUCCUGUAGUGGGGGAUAGCCCGGCGAAAGCCGGAUUAAUACCGCAUACGAUCUACGGAUGAAAGCGGGGGAUCUUUGGACCUCGCGCUAUAGGGUUGGCCGAUGGCUGAUUAGCUAGUUGGUGGGGUAAAGGCCUACCAAGGCGACGAUCAGUAGCUGGUCUGAGAGGACGACCAGCCACACUGGGACUGAGACACGGCCCAGACUCCUACGGGAGGCAGCAGUGGGGAAUUUUGGACAAUGGGCGAAAGCCUGAUCCAGCAAUGCCGCGUGUGUGAAGAAGGCCUUCGGGUUGUAAAGCACUUUUGUCCGGAAAGAAAUCCUGAGGGCUAAUAUCCUUCGGGGAUGACGGUACCGGAAGAAUAAGCACCGGCUAACUACGUGCCAGCAGCCGCGGUAAUACGUAGGGUGCGAGCGUUAAUCGGAAUUACUGGGCGUAAAGCGUGCGCAGGCGGUUUGUUAAGACCGAUGUGAAAUCCCCGGGCUCAACCUGGGAACUGCAUUGGUGACUGGCAAGCUAGAGUAUGGCAGAGGGGGGUAGAAUUCCACGUGUAGCAGUGAAAUGCGUAGAGAUGUGGAGGAAUACCGAUGGCGAAGGCAGCCCCCUGGGCCAAUACUGACGCUCAUGCACGAAAGCGUGGGGAGCAAACAGG